CAUUGGGGCCAGAUGGAGACUCAGACAUCCACCCCAGCAUAUGUCUACCUUUGGAAGCUAAGCAGGCUCAACCUGGGUUAGUACUUGGAUGGGAGACCACCAAGAAACACGAGGAAGCCUCCAAGU
ensembl:rRNA 5S_rRNA 5S ribosomal RNA